UAAAUACUUUAGAUUCGGUUAUUAAAGUAGGAAUCCGCAGGUCGUGGGUGACCCCAAAAUAAAAAAAAGGAUCAAUCCAGAAACACUGGAAUUAAUUUUGAAAGGUGGAAGAGUGACGCUGAAAUGGCCACCGUUCUCAUGGAUUGGUAGGGCGUGGCAAUUCCUUGGUCUCGCAUAGGGCGGCAGAAGUCAAUAUAUCAUCCAAACACCGGCUUUGACGGCACUUUCACACAACAGGAACCAGCCAGGAAAUAACCCAUACAGUACUGUUCCAUAAAGAAUAUAUAAACCCUCUGAAGGCAUUCAGAGUUACCAAGAUUGGCAUGGGCCAUCAUUCAAACAAAGUGCCUCCCUGCCUACCAGUGCAUAUUUCCAAAC
rnacentral:lncRNA from 1 species